rnacentral:lncRNA from 1 species
GACCUGGGGUCCCUGCUUCUCCAGGUGCUCCCGGAUUUUGCUCUCUAGCCUCCGGUUCUCGGUCUCCAGGCUCCUCACUCUGUCCAGAUGUGGGCCACCAGCCUUAAGCCAGAGGGAGCUUUGUAAGACAGGAACAUAUAAAAUGAUAAAAGCUUCUCUACGUACAGUUUUCCUGACUCUGAUUCUGCGUGGGACAACCAGUGAAAAUUGCAGGUGAAGAGAAGAAAUGCGUAUUUAUUCCUCCACUGGGAAAAAAAAUACCAUCCAAAGCUACAUGACUUGAGAGACAAGGUCUCACUAUGUUGCCCAGGCUGGCCUCGAACUCCCGGGCUUCAGCAGUCCUCCCGCCUCACCCUCCGAUGUAGCUAGGACUACAGGACCGCGACCCGGCGCUGCCUAAGAACUGUUUUUAAACGUGAAAGCCACGGCUAUCAUUUGCUUUUUGCUCUGCUCUUCAUCUUCUGGAUAAACCUCGUAACACACUGCUUGUUUUGGGUGGUAGUCUGCUGCCUACGCCCCGUCAGACAAGUGGCCUGAGUCCCCCGCAACCCCUGCAGGUCCGGCCGCCGGCGCCAAGCCUCAAGGCAUCCAAGCCAGGAACGAUCGCGGUCAGCUCUGCCACGGAACAUGUGCAAGACCCGGCAGCAGGUUCCGGGGGAGGCGAAUUGAUUUCACAACGGUCGAGAAGGAGGACCCCGCCCACUUCGUCAUUUCUCGGAAGCCCAGGGACUCGCCGGAAGAGCGGCUCAAAAGCCGGAAAACUGGCAAAUCCGAGUCUCCCGGCGCAUGCGCGGCGCAAUCGGCUUCGCGUGGUUGCAGUAGAGAGGAUCCCUCCGCCAGCCACUGCAUCCGGCGGCCGGAUCUAACUUACCCGCUAGCGUUUUACCCUUGCGCGGCCGUGGCGUAGGGCGGUCUUUUCCCUUGGUCCUCCGCGGCGCCGCCUCUUGUGACGUAAGCCGCAGAAUCCUCUGUCUUAGUUCGGCUCUAUUGCCGCGAGCUUGACUCUUCCUGGGUCUGAGGAAAAGUAAAAGUAAUUUUGUCAUUUCCUGAAACUUCAAGUUAAACCUUUAAGCUGUUCAUUUCCUAAAAGGGUGAAAACGCGGGCACCCCUCGAGCUAGUUCAUCGCCUUUUAACCUGUUGUUGGAUCUUUCCAGAUCACCACACCACAUCACCCAGCCACUCUGCCCAAUGGGAGGGCAGACAGUGUUCCAGUGUAGGAGGAAGGGGUGUAAGGUGCGGGCAGUUUGUGAGGAGGGCACCAACGAGAGCUACUGUGAGAAAGUCUGCAUGGUCAAAAAGUGGAUUACCAAGAACAAAGCAUCAUAAUGUUGUCCAGUGGACCCCAGUGGUGGAAGGUACCUGAAAGCCAGAGCUAAAAGAGCCUAUUGAAACAAUCACUACAUGGCAGCCUGUGGGACAUGGAGCUGGGCAGGAGAGAUGGAAAACAGAAGCGAUCAGGCACUGAUUAUAUGUCAAAUUCAACAAAGUUCAGAUAUACGAGGGAACUUCAAAAGUUCAUGAAAAAAAUGGAAUUAGAAGAUAAAAAUAAAAAGUGGAAACUGUAUUUCUCAACAUAAACUC